rnacentral:rRNA from 1 species
UACGGAGGGUGCAAACGUUGCUCGGAAUCAUUGGGCGUAAAGCGCACGUAGGCGGACUGUUAAGUCGGAUGUGAAAUCCCUCAGCUUAACUGAGGAAGUGCACUCGAAACUGGCAGUCUUGAAUAUGGAAGAGGGUCGCGGAAUUCCCGGUGUAGAGGUGAAAUUCGUAGAUAUCGGGAGGAACACCAGUGGCGAAGGCGACUACCUGGCCUGUUCUUGACGCUGAGGCGCGAAAGCUAGGGGAGCAAACGGG